rnacentral:rRNA from 1 species
AGGACGAACGCUGGCGGCGUGCUUAACACAUGCAAGUCGAACGAGGCGCUUGCGCCUAGUGGCGAACGGGUGAGUAACACGUGAGCAACCUGCCCUUGGCUCUGGGAUAGCCUCCGGAAACGGGGAUUAAUACCGGACAUGACCUUCUCCUGCAUGGGGGAGGGUGGAAAGUUUUUCGGCCAGGGAGGGCUCGCGGCCUAUCAGCUUGUUGGGGGGUAACGCCCACCAAGGCGACGACGGGUAGCCGGCCUGAGAGGGCGACCGGCCACACUGGGACUGAGACACGGCCCAGACUCCUACGGGAGGCAGCAGUGGGGAAUAUUGCACAAUGGGGGAAACCCUGAUGCAGCGACGCCGCGUGCGGGAUGAAGGCCUUCGGGUUGUAAACCGCUUUCAGCAGGGGCGAAUUCAGACGGUACCUGCAGAAGAAGCGCCGGCUAACUACGCGCCAGCAGCCGC